CCCCUCGGCCGCUCAGGGCGGGCGUGGCCUCGGAUCCGGGUUUCCGAGGCCGCGGAGGAGCCGUCCGUCCGAAAGGCGGGGAGAGGCAUUGCUGGGGACAGAAUGGCCCGGGUCCUGCCCCUGAGGCCUCCCCCUUCCCCAGAGGCUGACCCAGGAGGGGGGGGUGCCCCCCUGCACACACAGGAGCUGGGAGCCUCCAGGCCCAGGCGCUGCUCCCAGGAGGAGCCCGCCGUGGGCGGGAUGGGUCAGCGGCCAAGGCCGAGCCCUCAACUUGCCGUCCCUGCCGUGGCCCCUGAAGAUGUUCGGACGCAGAGGAAAACAACGCCCCCCAGGACCCCCCAGGGAGGGGGCACCUGUAAUGGACAGUGGGGGGCCCAGAGGGAAGACGUCCUGCAAUCUCAGCAACGGGGAAGCUUGUGACCGUCCUCGAACUUGUCAGGUGUGAGCCCGGGUGUGGCCACCUGAACUGCGAGCCGCCUCACCUUGUCUGCUCUGCUGGACUCUGACUCUGGACAGAGCAGUUCUACUUAAGACGGCAUUUGCCAUCAGAAUUAUUACAAACAAUAGGAUUCUUUCACAUGCAAGUGGCAGAAACUCAUCUCAAAGUGCUUAAGCCUCAGAGGGGACUCAGCUUAGGUCCUUUAUGAGACUAAGACGGAGGCUUCAGGAACAGCUGGAUCAAGGGUGCAGAUACCAGGAUUUUGUUUCUUGCUGUCUUUCAGCUUUACUGCUUCCUCUACAGGGGAAGAUACCUUAGCUCUCACAGCAUCUCCAAAAGGGACGCAAUGGCUGUUGGCACCCCCAGAUUAUAGGAUUCUUGGUGCUUGUGAUUGAUUUCAGCAGGAGAGAAGUCCCCUGUUUCUUAGUGUCUAUAUUUGUCUGUGGAAGGGGGCUGGGCCUGGGCCAGCUGGGGUCUCAUGCCCACCGCUAUACUGAGGGGUUGAAGGUCAUUCCCAUGUUGAGGAGGGCAGUUCCCAGAAGGCAAGAGAAGGGGGCCAGAGAUGCUGAGUGAACCAACUGGGUUCACUGCUGGGUGUUUGGAGACCAGCCUCCCACAGGGGACGAGUUACAGGGGCACCUGCUGAGAGGUCGGAGACAGGGACCAGCGGAGACGGAGGAGGAAUAUUGAAAGAAAGAAAAAAAAAAGAGCCUCUAAAAACCCCACACACCAACAACCUCAGAACUCUGACUCUGAAACUUGGAAAUGUUACCUAAAUUCUGACAAGAAAGGGCUUGUACAUCUCUUUGUGUUCAGAAUCGGCUGCUGGAGAACACAGAGCUUUCUCGAAGCUGUGCCCUACAGAUUCAUUUCGGAUUUGACAUUUAGAAGAAUGUUCCACCCACGGCUUUUCUUUGCGAGACGAGAGUAUCUGUGAACUUAAUAUUCAGGUGGAUAAAUAGAUUGCUUGGAGAAAAUGAUCCCCUCUGAAAUGCUGUCCCCUGGCACUUUUCUUUUUGUCUUGUUUUGUUUUGUUUUCUUUAGGAGAACUGUGAGGGAAAGAAAGCAAAAUGCAGAAAUCCUCUCUGAUAUCCUCACUGCCCACCAUGUUCCCAGCUCAGAUGAGGCGUGAGUUCUCUCCGUCCCCACCCUGCUGCCUCUGGGUGGCUGUUCACCCGGAGCCCAAAGAAGUGACUCCUCACGGUGCAUGGGUGAAGUUGGGGGGGAGAAAGCUGUGGUUUUGUUUUCGCCGGCUUUCAACUGAAUUGUAGCAUUUCCUUUGAUUCUUGAGUGGAAGCAAGAACUCAGAGCAGCAUUAGCAGGACUGGGGAUUUUAGCACCAGCGGGAUCACAGGUGUUUCAUACCACGUGAUUACUCUUGUGGAAUCUGGAAGGAAUGGUUCCUGAUCAUCUCUGCCCUGAAAUUGCAAUCAUUAUCAGACCUGCCACUGGAUCUUACUACGAAUGCACGAGAAAAGAGCACACACGUUGCUUUUCCACACUUACAAUUCUACGCCCAUUUUGAUAUUUGUGGGGCUUUUUUUUUUUUUUGUCAUCCUUCCGAAUUUUGUUUUACGCAUUUCAGCAUACGAUUCUGGGAAGGGGUCCGUGAGCCUCGCUGGCCUGCUGAAGGGAGCCACGGCGUCGCCCGGCCACCAGCUCUGUGCUAUGGAAAGACCGAGUCUCGAAGGAUGGAUACCUUCCCCAAGGAAUGUAUCAGAGCCACCAGCGGCAGAGUUGGAAUUCGACUCCAGAACACCUGGCCCCCUCCUCCUGACCACCCCACCCGCUACCCGCCUUCAGACACCCGGGAGGCCCCUCUCCUCCCAGAAGCUGCUCUCCCUGAAUCACCGGUGAGCGGGGUUUGCCUGAAGUAAUUGAUUGAACGUUACCCAGAAGCGGAAGCCAACCAAAGAGAGACGGCCGCACUGUCCUUUCCAGAAAACCCAGCCCUGUCCGUCCCUGGCUCUCACUUCCCGGCACCCUCACUUGCGCAGCUUAGAAACGCUGUUUCUGUGCCUGGUCGGAGUGGUGCCCCCAUGGCUGGCUUCCCCAAGAGGCACCUCAAGUUCAUUGUGCUCCUCUGAGAUGGCCCCUGUAGGAUAGGAGCCCCGGACAAGGUAAGGGGAACAGUGUGUGUGUGCACAGAGUAUGCAUCCGUUCUGCCUCCUCCUCCUGCCCUCCCAGCUUUGAGCUUCCGGGCUGCGGAAAGCUAACUACACGACUUGCCUGGCUCACCCAGUCCAGGCUGUUUGGUGCCCUGUGUUUUCGCCUGUGCCCUGUCUUCUGCCGGAAACGCCCCUCCCCCUUCACUUUUCCCCUCUCCUACCCCACACUCACCUAAAGGUCCUUGGCCCUCCAUGUCUGGUCCCGGUAUCGAGAGCAC